GCCCUCGUAGCUCAACGGAUAGAGCGAGCCGCUUCUAUCGGCAAGGUUGGAGGUUCAACUCCUCCCGAGGGCA
rnacentral:tRNA from 1 species